rnacentral:misc_RNA from 1 species
GAAAAUACCAAUAAACAUGGUCAUGUGAUGCAAAGGCCGAGUUAUUUAUAGAAUAUUGUGUGGCAAGUAUAGGUUGGCAUGAUAUAUAAAUGUAAUGUCUGCAAUUGCACUUUACAACCAUUAUAUAGAUAGAAUUCAGUGUGAUUGGACCUAAUUAAAAUCAUAAUGUGUCAUAUUUAUUAAUGGAUAUAAAAUAGCCUUCUGGUAUUGUUAUAAUAAUGUAAAUAAUAGAAUCUUUUAAGUAGUGAAUUCUACUGUCACUGCACUUACUAUUAUAAGUGCAUAAAACACGUAUGAUACAUUAACGUUUGGAGUUUUCUACAAUAUUCGCAUGUUUAAAUGCUGUGACUGGUAUUUUGAAUAUUUAACGAGAAGAUAUUCCUAAAAUAUCCAUAGUUAUGUCAAAGCCUGAUGCACCUAAGUUCGUGACAGCACUAUUUUCCUUCAAAGGAAAGAAUAACGAUGAAUUAUGCUUUAAGAAAGGUGAUAUUAUAACCAUAACUCAAACAGAUGAUGAAGGUUGGUGGGAGGGUACGUUGCACGAUAAGACCGGAUGGUUUCCAUCCAACUAUGUUAAAGAACAUCGAGUACCCGUGUCUUCAGAAAAAGGUCUACCGGAGUCACCUGUUCAUCAAAAACUCAAUCGUGAUAUAGUAAUAAAAGACAUAGUUGAUUCGGAAAGAAUUAACGUAGCAGAAUUACAAGGCUUAGUUACUAAUUUUUUGCAACCGCUAGAAUCAUCAAAUAUAUUAAAAAAGGAAGAGUACAAACAAUUAUUAGGUAACAUACACGAGGUGUUGGAAAUGCAUCAGCGACUUCUUACGAAUUUAGAGAAUACCAUUUUACAAGGCGUAGCUGGUAGAAUAGGAAAUUUGUUUUUAACACUUGCUCCAAGAUUAAAAUCUAUACAUACUGCUUAUUGCAAUAAUCAUCCGCAAGCUGUCUGCAUUCUUGAUAGAUACAGAGAUGAAUUAAAUGAAUUUAUGGAAGAUAGUGGUGCAAUUACCCCAGGUAUAUUAGUUUUAACUACAGGUCUUAGUAAGCCGUUUAGAAGACUAGACAAGUACUCUGCUAUGCUACAAGAAUUAGAAAGAUACACUGAGAAAAAUCAUCCUGAUAGAGGAGACACACAACGAAGUAUAGCAGUUUAUAGAGAAAUAGCGGAGUCUUGUUCUUCAAUACGUAAACAGCGUGAAUUAGCACUACAGGUAUUGACUAGUGGUAUUAAAGGUUGGGAGGGAGAAGAGUUAAGUUCUCUCGGUGAAAUUCUUCAUGUUGGAUCUGUUACGCUAGCAACAGGAGUUGAUAAAAGAGACAGAUAUUUUGUUCUAUUUCCUGCUACGUUAUUAGUAUUGAGUACCAGUCCACGAAUGAGUUCUUUUAUUUAUGAGGGAAAGCUUCCAUUGACAGGCAUUAAUGUAUUGGCAACAGAGGACACCGAUGAAAUAAGGAAUGCUUUUGAAAUAACGGGACCAAUGAUUGAAAAUAUAACAGUAUUAUGUACAAGUAAAGAAGAAAGACAACGUUGGAUUGAGCUUCUAGCUCAAGAAAAAGUUACCAACAUAUUGAAAUCACCGACAAUGCCUCGAGUGAGUUAUAAUCAUCCUCCGUAUACGCGGCUCUCGAGGUAUUUUGCAAAGCUCGUGAGGAAAAAAAUAAUAGAAACUGAAUUAAUGAAAAAGCUGCUUUACAUUCAAUACGUUCUAAAGCCAGAUUUAAGUAGCGUUAAAAUGAGAAGGUGUAACGUGACGUAUACUAUUUUUCCUAACAAAAGUAGCGAAUGUAAUUCAGAUUGUGAAACUAUUAUCGAUAAUGAAACUAUUCAGGAUCCCCCAAAAGAAUUACGUAAAUCUACUUUAACGCUCGAUGUCAGAUACGAGGUCGGGGAUACCGAUCUUAGUGCCUUAGGUUUAGAAAGUACUUCUCUCACGAACUUCGCAUCGAGGGCCGCCGUUGCUUAUGGAGAUCGUUCUUCGUUCGAAACCAGCAAGAGUUUACCUGCUGGCCGUGCUACGAGCCACGUCCUGCCGAACAUAUUACUUUCUACGAGUACUUCUGCUGUACCAAUUUUAUUACCGCGUACACAUGAUUAUUAUCGAGAAAAUUUAGAUGUACCACGUGAACGUAUGCCUUGCGGUGGUACCAUUAAAUGUUGGGACGUUGUCGAGCUUUAUCCUAAAACACCAGAAAUCUCUAAUCUCAUUAUUCGAGAUUCCGUGACACCUGUAAACACAGCUGAUAAUGGAAAUCUAAGAAAUGAUCAACGUUUAUGUCCUACUACCAGUGUGCAUUCAUCAGAUUCUGGAAUGGCUGAAAGUUAUCAUUUAAAUUCAACAGAACUUGGUUCUUGUUACAAAUCCCACAGAUCCAGUCAUAGUAAAUACAUUGAUCCAGUAAGAGCGUCCCACAGCGAAAGCGACAUUGAUGAAAAUAAAUUUGAAAAUCAGUGCAUUUGUACUUCGCCAUUUGGUUCUACGCCCAGAGAUAGCGAACGUUCAUUCCCUUCUACAGAAAAUAUUAAUAAGACAUCGAAUACGGUAAUGACUUCUUCCAGCUAUAUUAAAAAAGAUGUUAAUAAAGAUGCAUUUGAUAAUAUGAAAGAAGAAAAAGAGAAAAAUAUUAUGGUUACUGCUAAAGAUUAUGAAAAUAUUAAGCACAAAAGAUUUACGGAACCAAUACCACAAUUGCACCAAAGUUAUUCUAAAAGAAAGGGAAAAAGAAUGGUCCGUCCAGUACAACCAACUAUCGAAGAACAACCCGAACAAACGGGUCAAGUUUAUAGAUCAGGAUUAUAUGCUCAUUGGUGGCUCAAGAGAACAAUUCCAUUAUCAGGAUGCACAGAACGAGAUGAACAGUCAGACGAACGGGAAGCGCCAACGGUCGGCAGCGGAUCAUUGUUUAUCUCCAGGGAUUAAGACGCCUUGGAGUAUUGCUUCGUUACGUCCAGCCCCGCCUUUAUAUACACUCAAGACAUUUGAUAACCGUCAAUUCGAAGAAGAUGCAAUUAUUUUAAAAAUAAUAGAGAGUUAUUGUCUUUCUGUCAAUAGUAGAUUUACCAUGAAUUCUAAC